rnacentral:rRNA from 1 species
AAUAGAUACCCUGGUAGUCCACCCCGUAAACGUUGGGAACUAGUUGUGGGGUCCUUUCCACGGAUUCCGUGACGCAGCUAACGCAUUAAGUUCCCCGCCUGGGGAGUACGGCCGCAAGGCUAAAACUCAAAGGAAUUGACGGGGACCCGCACAAGCGGCGGAGCAUGCGGAUUAAUUCGAUGCAACGCGAAGAACCUUACCAAGGCUUGACAUACACCAGAACACCCUAGAAAUAGGGGACUCUUUGGACACUGGUGAACAGGUGGUGCAUGGUUGUCGUCAGCUCGUGUCGUGAGAUGUUGGGUUAAGUCCCGCAGCGAGCGCAACCCUCGUUCUAUGUUGCCAGCACGUAAUGGUGGGAACUCAUGGGAUACUGCCGGGGUCAACUCGGAGGAAGGUGGGGACGACGUCAAGUCAUCAUGCCCCUUAUGUCUUGGGCUGCACACGUGCUACAAUGGCCGGUACAAUGAGCUGCGAUACCGCGAGGUGGAGCGAAUCUCAAAAAGCCGGUCUCAGUUCGGAUUGGGGUCUGCAACUCGACCCC